rnacentral:lncRNA from 1 species
AUGAUCGCAGGUGGCGAGACAAGUGACUCAUCAUUCCAUGUGUCAAAUCUUCCAGACCCUGCCAAAGACUUCAUGGUCGUCAGUCCUGCUGAUCCAGUGUCAGUUGGCAGCGAGGUGAACCUGACUUGCUCCUUCAGAGGAAACCCUCCUGUUAGCUUUGUCUGGCUCAUGGUGAGCAGUGAUGGCAGCCUGCAGCAGAUCAAAGGUGAUUCACAGGUUCAUGGAUUCAAAGUGACCAACAGCGAUCGAGGCAGAUUAUUUUUUUGUGGAUGCAGAAAUUAUCUGGACAAUAAACUAUCAACAGGACGUCAGCUGAUCUUUGAAGGUGAGCAUCAGUCUGGACCGGUUGAUGUUGAAGUUAUAGUGAAGAUCCUGGGAAUCAUAAUGCUCGUCAGUACAAUGAUCAUCUUUGAAUGCUGGUUUAGAUCAAGACAUGCCACCAAACCAGUGAAGGACGCAGUAGAAGCAGACUAUGUCAACAGUGUGGUUGAGUUAAAACCAUCCUGAGUCACAAGGAGAGGAGGAAGAUGUUAUGUUCACUAUAAGGUGAACAAAAUACUGUAUUCUGUAUUGAUUAGUCUUAGUGUGCCACUUGCAAUCAAAUGUAGCUUUGCUGUUAAUAUUAAAUGGCACUACUUUCUUUAAAUAUGACUUUAAACUUGUGUUAAAAAUAUUUGAAGGUUUUUUUUUCUUAUCUGUUUCUAUUCAAAUCAUAUCACCAAAGUAAAAACAUAUUAAAUAAUGUAUCUCAUGUUGAACUGGUUUUUAAUUGUGUUAAGAUGUUAAGAUGCUUCGACCACGUGUUUGAUUUGCAUUGCUUCUCUGCUGUUUGCAUCAGAUGCAUGUGAAGUGUGUUGAAUUAAACACAAACGAGGUGUAAUGUUUGAACUUUCUGAUUUUCUGCAAAGAAGCUUUUCAUGGAGCAGAACGUGUUUAUGAAGAAAGCAUUUCAUCACUUCUUCUAUCAUUCUGCACGUAUACAAACAGACUCACGAUAUCUGUGUUACUGUGGAGAUGACUGCAGAUACAACAUUGCACUAACUGUAUGUGUGAAUGAAAUAAAGUUAAUACUUUCACCUGUUGUCCUUAUUAUUGUGAGUUAUGAUGAUAUGAAGGCUUGUAAGGAGUCGUGUGAUUUGAAACCUAAACAUGUUAAGAUGUCGUAACAUCUAACUUCCUUACUCACAGGAUAAACACGUGUAUCUUAGCAACACCAUGUGAU